UUUACCUAUAGCUCCAAUGGUGAAGCAUGAGACUCUUAAUCUCAGAGUUGUGGGUUUGAGUCCCACCUCGGGCAAAA